AAAUGCGUAGAUAUCGGGAGGAACACCAAUUGCGAAGGCAGCUGCCUGGACCAAUACUGACACUGAGAUACGAAAGCGUGGGUAGCAAACAGGAUUAGAUACCCUGGUAGUCCACGCCGUAAACGAUGUCUACUAGCUGUUGCCUUGUUACUUUGUAGCAAGGUUGUGGCGUAGCUAACGCGAUAAGUAGACCGCCUGGGGAGUACGGCCGCAAGGUUAAAACUCAAAUGAAUUGACGGGGACCCGCACAAGCGGUGGAGCAUGUGGUUUAAUUCGAUGCAACGCGAAGAACCUUACCUACCUUGACAUCCAUGGAAGAUCUUGUAAUGAGAUUGUGCCUUCGGGAACCAUGUGACAGGUGCUGCAUGGCUGUCGUCAGCUCGUGUUGUGAAAUGUUGGGUUAAGUCCCGCAACGAGCGCAACCCUAAUUGCUAGUUGCCAUCAGGUAAAGCUGGGAACUUUAGCAAAACUGCCGGUGAUAAACCGUGAGGAAGGUUGGGACGACGUCAAGUCCUCAUGG
rnacentral:rRNA from 1 species